rnacentral:rRNA from 1 species
GACGUAGGGCGCGAGCGUUGUCCGGAUUUAUUGGGCGUAAAGAGCUCGUAGGCGGCUUGUCGCGUCGAAUGUGAAAUCUCGGGGCUCAACUCCGAGCUUGCAUUCGAUACGGGCAGGCUAGAGUUCGGUAGGGGAGACUGGAAUUCCUGGUGUAGCGGUGAAAUGCGCAGAUAUCAGGAGGAACACCGGUGGCGAAGGCGGGUCUCUGGGCCGUAACUGACGCUGAGGAGCGAAAGCGUGGGGAGCGAACAGG